AGAUGUGCCAUUUUUGAACUUUCCAGUCUGGGGAUGUAUGCAGUUCAGGAGAAGAAGGACAAAAUGAUUCUCUGGAAAGCAGAUCCAAUUUUAGAAUUACUUCCCUAGGGACCUCAGCCUGGAUGGUGGAGGAGAAGCUGGAGUGCUGGAAUGGUCCCAAGGCAUACAUGGGACUCCGUAGGUCCAGCUUCAAGUUUGUCAAGAUUCUUGUCAAGACUCAUACUGAAGCCCCAGAGUUUGGCUCAAUUACCCAAGCCUUUCAGCAUGUUUGCUCCCCUUCUCGGAACUAUAAGCAGUUUCCACUGUGUACAUGGAAGUGCUGCCUUCCUAACUGACUGAAAGGCUGCAACCGAGGCCUACCCAUUGCUGAACAGUGACAACUUUUACACACAUUCUACUAUAUUUUGGUACACUAUUUGCAUUUUGAAUGUUACACCAAUAAGACAGAACAGUUCUCUUCUACAGCUCACUGCACAGCCGCAAGAACAUCGGUGUUAACACAAGAAGGCAACAGGCAAGACGGGGUGGGGAAAGCAUAGCUGCCCCUUUCAGAAGCAAUUCUUAUUUGUGACAAAUUAAAGUGACUAGC
rnacentral:lncRNA from 1 species